CGCGGUAAUACGGAGGGUGCAAGCGUUAUCCGGAAUCAUUGGGUUUAAAGGGUCCGUAGGCGGAUGUAUAAGUCAGGGGUGAAAGUUUGCCGCUUAACGGUAAAAUUGCCUUUGAUACUGUAUGUCUUGAAUACGUGUGAAGUGGUUAGAAUGUGUAGUGUAGCGGUGAAAUGCAUAGAUAUUACACAGAAUACCGAUUGCGAAGGCAGAUCACUAACACGUCAUUGACGCUGAUGGACGAAAGCGUGGGGAGCGAACARGAUUAGAUACCCUGGUAGUYCACGCCGUAAACGAUGGAUACUAGCUGU
rnacentral:rRNA from 1 species